rnacentral:rRNA from 1 species
GACGAACGCUGGCGGCGUGCUUAACACAUGCAAGUCGAACGGAAAGGCCCUGCUUUUGUGGGGUUCUCUAGUGGCGAACGGGUGAGUAACACGUGAGUAACCUGCCCUUUACUUUGGUAUAACUUCAGGAAACUGGGGCUAAUACCGGAUAGGAUCUCCUGCUGCAUGGUGGGGUUUGGAAAGUUUCGGCGGUUGGUGAUGGACUCGCUGCUUAUCAGCUUGUUGGUGGGGUAGUGGCUUACCAAGGCUUUGACGGGUAGCCGGCCUGAGAGGGUGACCGGCCAAAUGGGGAAUGAGAGACGGACCAGACGGCAACGGGAGGCAGCAGUGGGGAAUAUUGAACAAUGGGAGGAAGCCUGAUGAAGCAACGCCGCGUGCGGGAUGACGGCCUUCGGGUUGUAAACCGCUUUCGACUGUGACGAAGCGUGAGUGACGGUAAUGGGUAAAGAAGCACCGGCUAACUACGUG